rnacentral:rRNA from 1 species
CUGCUGCCUCCCGUAGGAGUCUGGCCGUGUCUCAGUCCCAAUGUGGCCGUCCGCCCUCUCAGGCCGGCUACUGAUCGUCGCCUUGGUGGGCCGUUACCCCGCCAACUGGCUAAUCAGACGCGGAUCCAUCGUAUACCGCCGGAGCCUUUCACACUGUCCCAUGCGGGACCGUGCGCUUAUGCGGUAUUAGCACCUGUUUCCAGGUGUUAUCCCCCUGUAUACGGCAGGUUAUCCACGCGUUACUCACCCGUCCGCCAA